GUCCACAGCCAUACCACCCUGAAUGUGCUCUAUCUUGUCUGAUCUUAGAAGCUAAGCAGGGUCAGUCCUGGUUAAUACUUGGAUGGGAGACCAGGUUAGUAUUUGGAUAGGAAGUUAUAAAGU
ensembl:rRNA 5S_rRNA 5S ribosomal RNA